rnacentral:ncRNA from 2 species
AUUCUGUCGGCAGUUUCAGGUGUCGCGAAAGCGAUGAAACGGGAAGUCGGUGCAUCUUUAACGCUGAAGAUAAAGCCGACACUGCCCCCGCAACGGUAAAUGAGUUAACGCUGAACGUUUAACCACUGUAGUCAUUACGGGAAGGUGUUCAGCAGGUGAAAACCGCUCAUGAGUCCGGAGACCGGCCUGAAAUGUCCUUGCCUC